rnacentral:rRNA from 1 species
UACGUAGGGUGCAAGCGUUGUCCGGAAUUAUUGGGCGUAAAGAGCUCGUAGGCGGUUUGUCGCGUCUGCUGUGAAAACUCGGGGCUUAACUCCGGGCCUGCAGUGGGUACGGGCAGACUAGAGUGCGGUAGGGGAGACUGGAAUUCCUGGUGUAGCGGUGAAAUGCGCAGAUAUCAGGAGGAACACCGGUGGCGAAGGCGGCUUUCUGGACGACAACUGACGCUGAGACGCGAAAGCGUGGGGAGCAAACAGG